rnacentral:lncRNA from 1 species
GGAAUUACGGCAGCCAUAAUUUCAGCCAUUGUGCUGUCUGCUGCUGCAGCUACCACAGCUACAAUUACUAUGACCAAUCAAAUACAGACGGCUGAGACUGUCAAUCAGAUUGUAGAAAGAACUGCAGAGGCACUAGAGAUACAAGAAAGAAUUUAAUACCCAUUUGGCAUCUGGCCUUCUAUUAGCCAGUCAAAGGAUAGAUUUAGUUCAAGAAUAAAUUGAAGCACUGUAUCAUAUGACACAGCUGUCUUGUGUUUCCUCCCUUAGAGGUUUAUGCAUUAUUCCUUUGUGAGCUAACUUUUCUCAGCAUUUUCAACAGAGCAAAGAAAUCUCGAAUUAUCUGAAAGGAAACUGGUCCAUGAAAGCAGAGCAACUAUCAAGACAAUUGCUGAUGCAGAUUGCUGUCCUCAACAGCACUAGGCUGGACCCCAUCACAGUUGAAGACUUUACCUCAUGGGUUACCAAUGCUUUCUCCCUUGUUAAGGAGUGGGCGGGCAUGUUUGUCCUGGGGAGUUAUUGUCCUCCUGGGAUGCGGAGUAGGUCUCUGGCUUAUUGGCUGUUUAAAAAGAGAACAUGCCAGACACAAAGUGGUUGUUUACCAGGCUAUGACCACCAUUAAAAAGGGUGCUUCUCCCAACAUAUGGCUGGCCUCUUUGAAAGAUCAAGAGUUCGCCCUAGAUCAUUUUUGUCACAGUCAUGUGGAGUC